rnacentral:tRNA from 1 species
GGGGGUGUAGUUUAAUGGGAAAGCACUUGCCUAGCAUGCAGGAGGUCCUGAGUUCCACUCCCAGCACCUCAA